rnacentral:rRNA from 3 species
AAAUUGAAGAGUUUGAUCAUGGCUCAGAUUGAACGCUGGCGGCAGGCCUAACACAUGCAAGUCGAACGGUAACAGGAAGCAGCUUGCUGCUUCGCUGACGAGUGGCGGACGGGUGAGUAAUGUCUGGGAAACUGCCUGAUGGAGGGGGAUAACUACUGGAAACGGUGGCUAAUACCGCAUAACGUCGCAAGACCAAAGAGGGGGACCUUCGGGCCUCUUGCCAUCAGAUGUGCCCAGAUGGGAUUAGCUUGUUGGUGAGGUAACGGCUCACCAAGGCGACGAUCCCUAGCUGGUCUGAGAGGAUGACCAGCCACACUGGAACUGAGACACGGUCCAGACUCCUACGGGAGGCAGCAGUGGGGAAUAUUGCACAAUGGGCGCAAGCCUGAUGCAGCCAUGCCGCGUGUAUGAAGAAGGCCUUCGGGUUGUAAAGUACUUUCAGCGG